GUGGGGAAUUUUGGACAAUGGGCGCAAGCCUGAUCCAGCAAUGCCGCGUGCAGGAAGAAGGCCUUCGGGUUGUAAACUGCUUUUGUACGGAACGAAAAGGUCUGGGUUAAUACCCUGGGCUCAUGACGGUACCGUAAGAAUAAGCACCGGCUAACUACGUGCCAGCAGCCGCGGUAAUACGUAGGGUGCGAGCGUUAAUCGGAAUUACUGGGCGUAAAGCGUGCGCAGGCGGUUUUGUAAGACAGGCGUGAAAUCCCCGGGCUCAACCUGGGAAUGGCGCUUGUGACUGCAAAGCUGGAGUGCGGCAGAGGGGGAUGGAAUUCCGCGUGUAGCAGUGAAAUGCGUAGAUAUGCGGAGGAACACCGAUGGCGAAGGCAAUCCCCUGGGCCUGCACUGACGCUCAUGCACGAAAGCGUGGGGAGCAAACAGGAUUAGAAACCCUAGUAGUCC
rnacentral:rRNA from 1 species